rnacentral:lncRNA from 1 species
AGAACUUAUCUGAUUAUAUCACUAUUUUAAGUAUGAAUAGUCAUAAAUUGAGAACUACCUAUAUUUUCUUUCAACAAACACAAUAAAAGUUUUAUACAAAUUGCGAUAUUUUAGAAAAUCUAAUAUUUAAUACAUAUAUAUAGGAAACUGAGGCAAGACAACAAUGCUAACGAAUUUCAAUUUUUUUAAAUUCAUAAAUGCAUUACCAAUACUUUUUAUAACAUAAAUAAAUUAUUCAUACUUCACAUUAUUAAUGAAAAAUUUAUAUAGACUAAUUCCCUAAAUUAAAUUAUAUAGAAAACAUUUGUUUGGGAUAGUUCAAAAAAAUCAUCUUGCCCCUUCUUCACAAAAAAUGUUUAUCUAUCAACAUUGUUGGUGUAUUUAAAGAAACUUAAGAGUGUUAUAACAUUUCUAUUUAUUACACAUGAGCAUAGAAAACAAUAAUAAACUUUAAUAAAGAAGUACAUUCAAUACUAUGGGUAAUUAGUCCCGUUAUACUUUACAUUCAAUGAUGAUGAUGACAAUUUAAGAUGAUACAAUAAUGAUUUAAAUUGUUUACAAAAAUCAUAGAUGAAUGGCCCUCCUUCAUACCCAGUAUAGCUUUCAUACCACCAUAUUUUACAUUGAGAGCAUUGUAUCUAGUCUUCAUCAAGUGGAUCUAUAUAAAACAAAAGCUAUCAUAAGCUGGGCAAUUAAUAUCUGUACUCUGUUUAUUUCUUAUUUUCUUAUUUCUAUCCAAUUCCUUUUUUUUUUUUUUCCUUUGAGUUCUGUUUCUCAAGCAACAUAUAUUUUACUAGUGAGCUUGUUAUGAUAUUAGCUGACAUUGUUUUUCUUUUUCCCUCUGAUUUUUUAACUCAUGGUAUGGAUUUAAAUUCAAAUAUUGAUAAAGGAGAGUAGCAACUUGAAACGUGAUGUUCAUAGUUAUUAUCUUCACUUCCAGUCUUUUUAUCAUUACUAUCUGAAAAAGUAGGCAUACUUCUCUUUGUGGAAGAUGGCUGAUAUUGUUUAAAACUGACUUCAUAUUUUGAUGAUGGACCAGGCAGAGGUUCAAUUGCUUGGACAGGACUUUGAGCAUUUUGUUUUGUAUUGCUAUUCUCUAUGGCUUUUUUGGUUCUUUCAAAAGGACCAAAGUCUUCAUUCAUAAAUACGUGAUGAUUAUAUGGUUCAGUUCUAGUACAUCUAAACCCUUUUACUGCAUUUCCAAUAGUUGCUUAGAACAAUUGCUAUGCUUAACAAUUCCCCUAUGUCAAUAUCUGUUAUAGCUUGCUUACCAAGCUAUAACAGACAUUGGCAUAGGUUUGAAACAAUAAAGUUAUAACAUGCUUGACUAUAGUAGGUUUUAAGUGAUCUAUAGAAGAGUACAUCAAGUGGCUAUAAUUUGUGUUUUGUGUGGAGAGAGAAUCGUACCAUAUAAUGUGCUUUUCUCUGCAAAAAUUUAUUGCAUCCAAGAUAACUAGGAUUUAUGGUUAUCAAUAAGGAGCAGUAUACAAGCAUAUUUUUAGAGGGUUUUAUAUGUAUUAGAAAAUGCUGAAGAAAAGCAAAAAAUAAUUCUGAAUUUACCCAAACAUUGUCAAUGCAGUUCUCCAUGGAACCUGGAAAUGCUUUAUUUAUGAAUUCUGGACACAUCUGCUUUCAAGAAAAAAUCAUAACUGUGACAUUUCCACUGUCACGAGAGUUCGGACCCCGUCCCCCCUCGGUACCUGGUGUUUGCGAGGUGUUAAAUCGAACAUGAAACUGAUAUUCACGUGAUUCCCACCAGCGUAGUGUAGCGUUCAUGGCGUCGACCAAAUACUCCAUCAGCUUCAAGAAAAAUUAAAUUUAUUAACACCACUGGUUAAUUUUACAAUUGGUUAAUGCAAA